rnacentral:lncRNA from 1 species
CCUAUGGAAGCUGGGAUUGGUCCAGUGAGUUCAUUAGAGUGUAUAGAUAAUUCACUAAGCUUUGACAAAUUUUCAAUGGUGAAAGGUAUGGACCCAGAGAGUUUAUUUUUAUGAAGGUGCAUGGUGUCCAAAUUGACCAAGUUGCCUAUGGAAGCUGGGAUUGGUCCAGUGAGUUCAUUCAAGGGUAUAGAUAAUACACUAAGUUUUGACAAAUUUCCAAUGGUGAAAGGAAUGGACCCAGAGAGUUUAUUUUCAUCAAGGAACAAGAAGUCCAAAUGGACCAAGUUGCCUAUGGAAGCUGGGAUUGGUCCAGUGAAUUCAUUCAAGGAUAAAGAUAAUACACUAAGCUUUGACAAAUUUCCAAUGGUGAAAGGAAUGGACCCAGAGAAUUUAUUUCCAUCAAGGAGCAUGUAGUCCAAAUUGACCAAGUUGCCUAUGGAAGCUGGGAUUGGUCCAGUAAGUUCAUUCAAGGAUAUAUAUAAAUCACUAAGCUUUGACAAAUUUCCAAUGGUGAAAGGUAUGGACCCAGAGAGUUUAUUUUUAUGAAGGUGCAUGGAGUCCAAAUUGACCAAGUUGCCUAUGGAAGCUGGGAUUGGUCCAGUGAGUUCAUUAAAGGAUAUAGAUAAUACACUAAGCUUUGACAAAU